GAUGAACGCUGGCGGCGUGCCUAAUACAUGCAAGUCGAGCGAACGGACGAGAAGCUUGCUUCUCUGAUGUUAGCGGCGGACGGGUGAGUAACACGUGGAUAACCUACCAAUAAGACUGGGAUAACUUCGGGAAACCGGAGCUAAUACCGGAUGAUAUUUUGAACCGCAUGGUUCAAAAGUGAAAGACGGUCUUGCUGUCACUUAUAGAUGGAUCCGCGCUGCAUUAGCUAGUUGGUAAGGUAACGGCUUACCAAGGCAACGAUGCAUAGCCGACCUGAGAGGGUGAUCGGCCACACUGGAACUGAGACACGGUCCAGACUCCUACGGGAGGCAGCAGUAGGGAAUCUUCCGCAAUGGGCGAAAGCCUGACGGAGCAACGCCGCGUGAGUGAUGAAGGUCUUCGGAUCGUAAAACUCUGUUAUUAGGGAAGAACAUAUGUGUAAGUAACUGUGCACAUCUUGACGGUACCUAAUCAGAAAGCCACGGCUAACUACGUG
rnacentral:rRNA from 1 species